rnacentral:rRNA from 1 species
CGAACGCGUCUUGGUUAUUGAUGUUGGAUGCUUGCAUUUAACUGAUUUAACAUUGAGACGAGUGGCGAACUGGUGAGUAACACGUGGGUAACCUGCCCUUGAAGUAGGGGAUAACACUUGGAAACAGGUGCUAAUACCGUAUAACAACCAAAACCACCUGGUUUUGGUUUAAAAGAUGGCUUCGGCUAUCACUUUAGGAUGGACCCGCGGCGUAUUAGCUCGUUGGUAAGGUAACGGCCUACCAAGGCAAUGAUACGUAGCCGACCUGAGAGGGUAAUCGGCCACAUUGGGACUGAGACACGGCCCAAACUCCUACGGGAGGCAGCAGUAGGGAAUCUUCCACAAUGGACGAAAGUCUGAUGGAGCAACGCCGCGUGAGUGAUGAAGGGUUUCGGCUCGUAAAACUCUGUUGUUGGAGAAGAACAGGUGUGAGAGUAACUGUUCACAUCUUGACGGUAUCCAACCAGAAAGCCACGGCUAACUACGUGCCAGCAGCCGCGGUAAUACGUAGGUGGCAAGCGUUGUCCGGAUUUAUUGGGCGUAAAGCGAGCGCAGGCGGUUUCUUAGGUCUGAUGUGAAAGCCUUCGGCUUAACCGGAGAAGUGCAUCGGAAACCAGGAGACUUGAGUGCAGAAGAGGACAGUGGAACUCCAUGUGUAGCGGUGAAAUGCGUAGAUAUAUGGAAGAACACCAGUGGCGAAGGCGGCUGUCUGGUCUGUAACUGACGCUGAGGCUCGAAAGCAUGGGUAGCGAACAGGAUUAGAUACCCUGGUAGUCCAUGCCGUAAACGAUGAGUGCUAAGUGUUGGAGGGUUUCCGCCCUUCAGUGCUGCAGCUAACGCAUUAAGCACUCCGCCUGGGGAGUACGACCGCAAGGUUGAAACUCAAAGGAAUUGACGGGGGCCCGCACAAGCGGUGGAGCAUGU